AAAUUGUAGAAAGCUUCCAAUUUCCAAUUGUAUAUGUGAUGUAUUAUGAUAUCCAAUUUGUUAAUCAUUUAUUACAUGCCAUGUGCCAUGCCAACACUUACAAGCAUUAUCACAGUUAAUACUCAUUCAAUGUAAGUAAAAUGACAACCCUUUUCCAGAUAUAGGUGAUGGAGACUCAGGUAUAUUAAAUAAACUACUUAUUUGCUAGUGAGGCAGAUUUGCAGUUCCAUCCUUGGCUCUCUGACAAUAAGGUAUCUUUUACCCCCCCACUAAAUCCUAUUGAGUUUCACGAUAAAACACAUUUUGAAGGAAAGAGAGAGGAGUAUUUUCAUUACCAUGGGCCAAAUGAAGCUCUAUGUGAAAAUUUGAGAUGGACAUAAUAGAAAAUGGCAAAUAAUACAAUUCUUUGUGAUGCUUUACCAGGCAGUGUAUGAACAGCGCGGCUGCUGUUGGCAUCCACUGAAUGAGUCUCUCCUUCCCUGGUGCUUCUUUGCAGACAAUCAUAGCUAUGAGGUUGACCAAAAGACAACAACAAAUGCUGGAGAGAGAGAGACAGGGCAUGAGCAGGGGAGGAGCAGAGAGAGAGGGAGACACAGAAUUUGAAGCAGGCUCCAGGCUGUAAGCUGUCAGCACAGAGCCCGAUGCGGAGCUCGAACCCCCGAACUGAGAGAUCAUGACCUGAGGCCGAAGCCGGAUGCUCAACCAACUGAGCCACCCAGGUGCCCCCAUGUAUCUGAGCUUUUUACACUUAGAAAUCAAGGAUAAAAAGGAUCCUGCUCUUUUUAUAGAAAAAAUGUAGAAAUGGAGGAGCAUAUGAACUCUAUGAUAACAGAAGAGUACAAAAAGUGUGGAUUAAUGAGUCUGAUGGCAUUACACCAGUUAUUGAAGAGGUAUGAUCAGGAUUUGGUUUUGUAACCUGACUUUACCAAUCUGGCAUUUGUAAAUUGUUGGGUGAAUGAGUAUGAGUUUAUUCACCAGAAAGUAAAAUUCACUGGUCUUAAA